rnacentral:rRNA from 1 species
UAAACGGCCGCGGUAUCCUAACCGUGCAAAGGUAGCGUAAUAACUUGUCUUUUAAAUAAAGACUAGCAUGAACGGCUAAAUGAGGACCUAACUGUCUUCUAAGACCAAUCAAUGAACCUGAUCUUUCAGUACAAAAGCUGAAAUCACAACAUAAGACGAGAAGACCCUGCGGAGCUUUAAAAACCCCACUUUUUAAGUUGGGGCGACUACGGAAAUAAAAAAAACCUCCACGACAGGACUGACAGUCCAAAAAAGGAAUCACACACCAACCAAGCUGACCAACGAACCAAGUUACCCCAGGGAUAACAGCGCCAUCCUCUUCAAGAGCCCCUAUCGCCAAGAGGGUUUACGACCUCGAUGUUGGAUCAGGACCCCCUAGUGGCGCAGCCGCUACUAAAGGCUCGU